CCGCCCGUCACAUCACGAAAGCAGGUUGCACUAGAAGCCGGUUCGCUGACCGCAAGGAGGCAGCCGUCCAAGGUGUGGCGUUGUGAUUGGGGUG
rnacentral:rRNA from 1 species